rnacentral:ncRNA from 2 species
ACGCCUGAGGAGCGUUGCGACGGGGUGGACGUGGAUCGCGAUUGCGGUAGCCCGCAAACGCGAAAACGCGAUGUCCCCCGCCAGGCUCAGGCACCAGUUCGGCCGUCCACGCAAGGCGUGGCGGCAUGCAACGGCGCUCACCUUUG